rnacentral:rRNA from 1 species
GACGAACGCUGGCGGCGUGCUUAACACAUGCAAGUCGAACGGAAAGGCCCUGCUUUUGUGGGGUGCUCGAGUGGCGAACGGGUGAGUAACACGUGAGUAACCUGCCCUUGACUUUGGGAUAACUUCAGGAAACUGGGGCUAAUACCGGAUAGGAGCUCCUGCUGCAUGGUGGGGGUUGGAAAGUUUCUGCGGUUGGGGAGGGACUCGCGGCUUAUCAGCUUGUUGGUGGGGUAGUGGCUUACCAAGGCUUUGACGGGUAGCCGGCCUGAGAGGGUGACCGGCCACAUUGGGACUGAGAUACGGCCCAGACUCCUACGGGAGGCAGCAGUGGGGAAUAUUGCACAAUGGGCGGAAGCCUGAUGCAGCAACGCCGCGUGCGGGAUGACGGCCUUCGGGUUGUAAACCGCUUUCGCCUGUGACGAAGCGUGAGUGACGGUAAUGGGUAAAGAAGCACCGGCUAACUACGUG